UGGCUGUAAGGUAAAUCAUAUAUACAAAUCCAUGAACUACAAGCUGACAACAAGCCCACAUACAUUAAUGUAGUUAUGUCCAAAUAACAGCAACCCAAAGCUCAAUCAAGUUCAAAAGUUUGUUUACUCCACCAACCCCAUAAUUCAAAACGAGAUGGUAACAUUUUAUUUGGAAAAUCAUCAAAAAUGAAUAUGAUUACAUGACAUGACAUUCUACAGACACGAAAUGUUACUGGAAACAGGAGUCAUUCUUUUCCCUGGGGAACUUGAUGAUGAUAAAUCAACUGUACCAACCAUUACUUUACUGUAUAUAAGUACUUAUGCAGAAUAUAAUAUCUGAAUAUUGACAAGAAUCUUGAAGAGGUGAACAAGAAGGGUAAAUUUCUUUUGAGAUGAUGAUAGAUAUUAUUUGAUUUUAACAUAUAGACUUAUAGUAGUGCCCCCUUUCAAUCAAAGCACAAAAUUCUUUAUUAAGCUUUGAUAUUUCAGAGUCCAUGGAGCUGUUAGUUUGGCCAGUAUCAGGAUAAGUAGUCCAACUCAGUUUAAGAGUACAAUUUCUUUAUCAAGUUAAGGCCCAUUAAAUUGUUUCUACAGUGUUUUAUCCUUUAAUCUUAUAUUUUUGGAGAUGCCUUAUCAUGUCUGAUGUGGGCUGAGGAUUGGAAUCAAG
rnacentral:lncRNA from 1 species